UACGAAGGGGGCUAGCGUUGCUCGGAAUUACUGGGCGUAAAGCGCACGUAGGCGGAUCGUUAAGUCGGGGGUGAAAUCCUGGAGCUCAACUCCAGAACUGCCUUCGAUACUGGCGAUCUCGAGUCCGGAAGAGGUGAGUGGAACUCCUAGUGUAGAGGUGGAAUUCGUAGAUAUUAGGAAGAACACCAGUGGCGAAGGCGGCUCACUGGUCCGGUACUGACGCUGAGGUGCGAAAGCGUGGGGAGCAAACAGG
rnacentral:rRNA from 1 species